CCGUCUCGACCACGGGGAGGUUGAGUCUCGGCAGCGGCAGUCGAACUUAGCGCGGCAAGCGGUGCACAAGUGCAGCGCGACUUCCUCCCUCGCGGCUCCCCCCGUCGCGGAUUUUUACCCCCUUCCGCCCUUCCCCCGCAGCCCGCGGUCCAGUCCGUCGGGUUUUUUUGUCGUUUUGAGCGCCGCGCCGCGCGUCUUUAUUAUCCUGCUCCACCGGUGACGUCACGUGUGAGUCAACCCGCGUCCGCUCCUGUGGCUCCUGUCAUCCGGCCCGAGUUUCAGCGGCUUUCGUGCCUGUCCUCGUCUUCGCGUCGACGGCGUGAGAAAACGCGUCGUACCGUGUAAAGCGAGACACAGCACUCGAGCCUUUUCCAGUGCUGGAUUGACUUUGCUUCGAACCUCCGCUUAAUCUUCAGGCGCUCACUCAGCUGGUUUUUCGACGCAUGGCCAUUGUUUCAGGGGGCUCUACAAUCAGAAACUUUCUGUAGCAUUUGUCUCUACUAGAAACACUCGUUGCUCCAGUGUGAACGCGAUGAGCUUUGCGUCGAUCGUUUCCGAAGAAUUUUUUGUUAGUGUCAGAAACUUUUCUACGAGUUCUUGAGGACUUUUCCAAGUUAUUUCCGUGACAGUUUAGUGCGUUCUUUGAAGACCGUUUCGUGAGUUUUUAAAAACUCUCCAAAGUGAUCUGAAACCAUCGGUUCUGUAAGUUUUUCAAGGGUUACGAGUGAACAUUCGGGUAGUUCUGCGUGUGUUCUCGGGGCUGUUCGGUGAAGUAGGGGUCGUAUCGAGAGUGCGGGGACUCGGGCACGGACUGAUGUUGGGUUCAAGAUGAGAUCAUUGGGGCCGACGAUCGCGAUCGGAGUCUGGUGGGCUUUGGUGAGCCUGGUGACAGCGUCGCUGGACUACUGUUGCGUCGACAUGAUCGCCUCCGCCAAAGCGCCCUGGAUGCAGUUUACCAAGGAGCUCAGCUCACAGGAGUUCAGCGUCACCAACUCCCUGAAGUCCCUUCACUGUUGCGCCAAAGGCUACCGUAGCAUCGAGUGGUACAAGGAUGGAAAGCCUUAUCCAUGGCGUAGGGAUGUCUCGAAUAUGAUAUUAUACCCAGAAUCAGCCAAUCAAACCGUGUACACGCACGCAGUGACAGCGAGGGAUGCUGGGAAUUAUACUUGUAUCGUCCGCAACGAUUCCAGUUCCAUAUCUCACACUAUUCACUUAUCCACAUUCGAUAAGGCGGGAUAUGUUGACGCACCGUUACCGACGUACCAAUUGGCCAAUGAGCAAUACGCCAAGGUUGGCUCCACCGUGAGAUUAUUUUGCGAAGCUUUCGUAGGUCAUAUUGAUCUUCCUGACGCAAAAAAUCAAGUUGAGUGGAUGCGGCUCGGCGAAAAUCAAACACUCGAAGGGAAUGAACGAUUUUCUCAAAAGCAAAUUUCCAGAGAGGAUGGUCAAAUAAUUGGAAAGUAUUUGGAGAUCUCAUCAGUUCACCGAAAUGAUUUUGGCAACUAUAUGUGCACAAUAAGCAACAGCGGGGACCAAACUAUCCAGCUCAUCACAACACUUCGAGAAGAGGAAUGGUUUUCAAUGCAAGUAGCCGACUACACAGACUGGGGUUGGAUGGUUUUCUUGGUCUGCUCAUUGAUUUCAUUGAUACUCAUUGUCUGUCUAGUUUUGAGGCGAUAUUGCUUCCAUUCGUAUGGCUGA
rnacentral:lncRNA from 1 species